rnacentral:rRNA from 1 species
ACUCCUACGGGAGGCAGCAGUGGGGAAUUUUGGACAAUGGGCGAAAGCCUGAUCCAGCAAUGCCGCGUGCAGGAUGAAGGCCUUCGGGUUGUAAACUGCUUUUGUACGGAACGAAAAGCUUCGGGUUAAUACCCUGGAGUCAUGACGGUACCGUAAGAAUAAGCACCGGCUAACUACGUGCCAGCAGCCGCGGUAAUACGUAGGGUGCAAGCGUUAAUCGGAAUUACUGGGCGUAAAGCGUGCGCAGGCGGUUUUGUAAGACAGAGGUGAAAUCCCCGGGCUCAACCUGGGAACUGCCUUUGUGACUGCAAGGCUAGAGUACGGCAGAGGGGGAUGGAAUUCCGCGUGUAGCAGUGAAAUGCGUAGAUAUGCGGAGGAACACCGAUGGCGAAGGCAAUCCCCUGGGCCUGUACUGACGCUCAUGCACGAAAGCGUGGGGAGCAAACAGGAUUAGAUACCCUGGUAGUCCACGCCCUAAACGAUGUCAACUGGUUGUUGGGUCUUCAUUGACUCAGUAACG